rnacentral:rRNA from 1 species
UACGUAGGUGGCAAGCGUUACUCGGAAUCACUAGGCGUAAAGCGCAGGUAGGCGGUUGGAUAAGUUUCUUGUGAAAGCUCCCGGCUUAACUGGGAGAGGCCAAGGAAUACUAUUCGACUAGAGUGUGGUAGGGGUAACUGGAAUUCCCGGUGUAGCGGUGAAAUGCGCAGAUAUCGGGAAGAACACCCGUGGCGAAGGCGGCUCUCUGGGACGGUACUGACGCUGAGACGCGAAAGCGUGGGGAGCGAACAGG